rnacentral:rRNA from 1 species
UACGUAGGGUCCGAGCGUUGUCCGGAAUUAUUGGGCGUAAAGGGCUCGUAGGCGGUUUGUCACGUCGGGAGUGAAAACUCAGGGCUCAACCCUGAGCGUGCUUCCGAUACGGGCAGACUAGAGGUAUGCAGGGGAGAACGGAAUUCCUAGUGUAGCGGUGGAAUGCGCAGAUAUCAGGAGGAACACCGGUGGCGAAGGCGGUUCUCUGGGCGUUAACUGACGCUGAGGAGCGAAAGCAUGGGGAGCGAACAGG